UGGCGAAUCUGAUAAAGGUGACACAAACUGUUAGAAGAACUGGUGGCAUCGAGGAAGGCCUGAUGCUGCCAUUCGACUGGAGUGGAAGAGUUUGCAGGCUGUCUGUUGUGAGGAAAUCCCUGCGGCUGUGGUUCAGCACCUGUAGUCAUUACUGUCUGUCAUUCUCCUGAGACACGUACAUGACCUCUUAUGUGAUCCAGUCACUAUGUAAGGACUCACCACCUAACUGCAUUUUGCUACAAACCAAGUGCAGAAAUUAGCAACAAAGUCAGCAAAAAACUGGAACCUAUGCUAGGCCUUGAUUCAAGAUGUUUGACAACCUCCCUGCAUUUAAAGGACUGUGGUUCUGGCCAUUACUUGCAGAGCAGCCAAGGGUGGCUAAUUUUUGCCUUUUUAAGGAAUUUCUUUUGGACGUGACUUGUUCUUGCUCUGGUUUAAUCAUACCAGCUCUCUGUAGGAAAAAGAAAGAGCAGUGGAAAAGGCAUUCUCAUUCUGCAAGACAAACCAUCGACGUUGCGCUUGUGUGGGCAAAUGGACUGCCUGAGUUACUCUGGAGCAGUGAUGGGUAUUCUGGAAUAUUUGUUGUGUUCGGAUGGGUUAUUCUGACGUACAGUUACAUGCUUUCUGCCAUAAUCCUUAGAUUAUUUCUGUCUUAGAGCAGGUUCCCUGAGACAAUGAUCUAUGUACGCUUUGCUGAUAGCCUGCAUUCACUUCCCUCCUUCCAAGGCUGCCUGAAGUGUAACCUAAAUGGUCCUGCUGGUCUUCACCCUGCAGGCAGAAUAUACAGCACUGAGCCAUCCUGUGGUUUCAGCACAGCUAAGUGAGAUAGUUUUUGUA
ensembl:lncRNA